rnacentral:rRNA from 1 species
CCUACGGGUGGCAGCAGUCGGGAAUAUUGGGCAAUGGAGGCAACUCUGACCCAGCAAUGCCGCGUGAAUGAUGAAGGUUUUCGGAUUGUAAAGUUCUGUUAUCAAGGAAGAAAAAAAUGACGGUACUUUAUUAGUAAGCCCCGGCUAACUAUGUGCCAGCAGCCGCGGUGAUACGUAGGGGGCAAGCGUUAUCCGGAAUGACUGGGUGUAAAGGGUGCGUAGGUGGUUUAUUAAGUUAGAGGUGAAAGCCCGGGGCUCAACCUCGGAACUGCCUUUAAAACUGGUUGGCUUGAGUGUGGGAGAGGUUAGUGGAACUCCUAGUGUAGCGGUGGAAUGCGUAGAUAUUAGGAAGAACAUCAGAGGCGAAGGCGACUAACUGGAAUGUAACUGACACUGAAACACGAAAGCGUGGGGAGCAAACAGGAUUAGAUACCCCAGUAGUC